UUGAUAUGGGCCAGCCUGUACUUUCACCACAAGAUAUUCCAGCCAGAUUAUCAGCAAAUAAAAAUGGAUCAGUUGUCCGCGCUGAAUUAUUAGUUGAUGGUAUUUCGUGGUAUGUGACAUGUGUUAGCAUGGGGAAUCCACAUUGCGUUACUUUUGGUUCGGAAAAGUUUGAGGAUCUGCAGGUUGAUGACCUAAAGCUUGAAGAAAUCGGUCCAUUGUUCGAGAACCAUGAGAUGUUUCCUUCUCGAACUAAUACAGAAUUUGUUCAGGUCUUGUCUCGUUCUCAUUUGAAAAUGCGUGUUUGGGAACGUGGUGCAGGGGUUACUUUAGCUUGUGGAACUGGAGCUUGUGCACUUGUUGUUGCAGCAGUUCUCGAGGGCCGUGCUGAAAGGAAAUGUAUUGUUGAUCUUCCUGGUGGGCCGUUGGAGAUUGAGUGGAAGGAGGCAGACAACCAUGUCUAUAUGACAGGCCCUGCUCAGGCAGUCUUCACUGGAUCUGUUUCCCUUUAGCUCUACUAAAGAGCUGAUACAGUGGAACUGGUGGCCACUACAUAGAUCAAAUUAUGCAGGAUGUGCUUUGAAAUGUUUAACGACCUAGG
rnacentral:misc_RNA from 1 species